UAGGGAAUCUUCGGCAAUGGGGGCAACCCUGACCGAGCAACGCCGCGUGAGUGAAGAAGGUUUUCGGAUCGUAAAGCUCUGUUGAAGUCAAGAACGGGUGUGAGAGUGGAAAGUUCACACUGUGACGGUAGCUUACCAGAAAGGGACGGCUAACUACGUGCCAGCAGCCGCGGUAAUACGUAGGUCCCGAGCGUUGUCCGGAUUUAUUGGGCGUAAAGCGAGCGCA
rnacentral:rRNA from 1 species